UACAUAGGGUGCAAACGUUGUUCGGAAUUACUGGGCGUAAAGCGCGUGUAGGCGGCUCUGCAAGUCGGAUGUGAAAUCCCACGGCUCAACCAUGGAAGUGCAUUCGAAACUGCAGGGCUAGAGUCCUGGAGAGGAAGGUGGAAUGCUUGGUGUAGAGGUGAAAUUCGUAGAUAUCAAGCGGAACACCGGUGGCGAAGGCGGCCUUCUGGACAGUGACUGACGCUGAGACGCGAAAGCGUGGGGAGCAAACAGG
rnacentral:rRNA from 1 species